AGGAUGCUCCAAGGGAAACAGCACCAGGAUUCGGGCACGCAUCUCCAGGGGAUAUGGAUCUAACAACCCAUGAACCAAACCAACUUUCUGAUCCAACAGCCUGUUCCACAUCAUGUGAUUCAGUCCAGCCUCCAACUGACCUCGACGAUAAAAGGUCGUGGGUUGAUUGUUGAGAGCUCAGUGACAAAAGUGCGACUGCCUCACGACAAACGUACUGCUCCUCAUCAUUGCUAAAGUCGGCUCAGCUGGAGCUCAGUUUUCCCGACAACAAAUGUGGGCUAGCCGAUCAUCCAGUGCCAGUGGACGCCUCAAGUUUGGGUGGCUACCCAGACUGCUCCUCAGUGCAUGAGUCACCGCAGACAGAGUACCACCUCCAGGGAACAUCAGAGCAAGCACCAUCCCCAAAUAGGGCAAACUUUGGGUGCCAAACAAACAUAUGGGUUGGCCGAAACAAGGGAACGCAAACAGUCUUUUGGGUCAGGAGCACCUCUACACAGACAAAAGUGGCGUGCCAAGAUAUGGAGACGCAGACAGAUGACGCAUCGGAUGAUGGAUGUCGCCCACCACUGCCAGCUCCGUCUACACAGCGCACCAUAGUCAAUAAUUUACAGCACGGAUGACUGUGAGUCAGGUUCCGAAAGCAGGGAUGAUACUUGCAGAGAUGAUCUUGAUCCUUUGUAUGUCAUGGAGGAAGAGGACGGUAGCGACAGCAGCUCUGAAGACACUUCCCAUCAGCAAGAGCAUGAGGGAACUGGAGACCAUGCAGAGAAAAAGUAUGUCGUCUUCCACCACUGUUUAAUGACGCUUCUGGAACGGUGUGGACAGUGCGGUUCUAGAGACUGCAAAGUAGUCAUGAACUAUGCGGGGACCCUCGUGACGGCACACAUUACGUGCCCCAAGAAGCACAAGGAGACAUGGCGCAGCCAACCCCUUGUUGAAGGGAAGGCAUUAUUUAACAUCCUUUUGUGCUCAGCCAUUUUGUUUUCUGGUAGUUUCUCCACUAAGGUGUUGCGGCUGCUCUCGUUGAUAGGAGUACAGACGCUGCAGAAGUCGAUGCUCUUCGACUUCCAAAGGCUCUACUUGUGGCCAGCAGUUCAUGAGGUUUGUGCUUGCAAAGUAAAAGAAAAGCUUUUAUUGAAGGGGUUACUUUUUUAUUAGGUCUGGAAAUCGGAGCAGGACCUCAUGAUCCAGGCAACACAAGGGGAAAAGCUGUGUCUCGCCGGGGACAGCAGAGUGGACUCCCCUGGACAUUCGGCUGACUUCGGCACAUACACUCUCAUGGACGUUACCCACAAUUGGGUCUUCCACAUCGAGCUCGUCAAGUCAACAGAGGUCUCCUGAAGCAAUCGAAUGGAGAAGGAAGGGCUGGUCAGGGCGCUCAAAUCGCUCCAAGAACAAGGAGUCGAGGUUGGCACAAUCGUAACUGACCGCCACCGUGAGGUAAAUGCCUACCUGCGGAUCAACCACCCUGACGUGCAGCACCGCUUUGAUGCUUGGCACUUUGAAAAGGGCACAGAAACCUUCAGGCGACUGGAGUCUGUACUCAUGCCCGCCCUCCUGCUCAGAGACAUCCCCAGGAUCUCACCUAAGGAGCAGACAUACGCACUAGAAUCCUUCCAUGGUAUCCUGGUCCAUUUCGCACCAAGGUCGAGAAAAUUCAAGUAUGAGGGAAUGCUGGCACGGACCUAGAUAGUGGCCAUCCACUACAACUUCAAUGCAGAGAGGGCCAUAAAGCUGACAGCGGAUGGCGAGGAACAGUAUGCCCAGCGUUGGUCGAAGGCAGAGAAGCAGUGGAGGUUGAUCGUCCUGAAAGAGGCAGCAGCAUACGGCUAUGUCAGCAAAGCUAAUUGAUGCUGUCCUGGCCUGCGUAGCACGCUGGCCUACCUACAAGUUGGCGGCACAAGCACAAGCUCCGCAACGCGUCGUGCAUGCGACCCUCGCAGACAGGUGUGGACCACGACCAAGCAAGGAAGAGGCAGUGAAACGCCAUCGUUCAAGGUUUUCCGUGUGAUUAUUUCGUGUCACGAGCUUUCCCUCAUGUUGUAUUCACGUAGGCCUGGUGUCUAUUCCUUCUGCGUCAAUUCUGUGCCGAGGAACUUGGCUUUGCGAACUGCGAACUGACAUUUUUCAUUCUUUAGACAAAAGCCUGCGUCUUUGAGUUCGGACAGUACUUGGUCCAGACCUGCAGCAUGUUGUUUAGAACUAUCUCCACUCACGAUGAUAUCGUCAAAGUAGAUACUUAUGCCCUGAAUGUCAGCCAAGGUUGUUUCCAUUGUACGCUGCAAAGUUGCGGGUGCCGCUGAUAUCUCGAAAGGCAGGUAUUUCACCUUGUACAAGCCCUUUAUGGUGUUGAUAGUCAGGACAGCUGUUGUGGCUUCAGACUAUUUCAGUUGUUGGUAGGCUUGGCAGAGGUCCAACACGUCGAGAAAACGGUGCCCCCUCUCAGAUUCGCCACAACUUCAGUAGUUGGUAGUGGGUAGGCUGCCUUCUCUGAAGCGGAGUUGAAAAGUCUUUUAGCAGUAUUUCUACACAGAAUAUAACAUUUUGUUCAAAGUUUUUAAAUAGACAUCUCUCGAUUUUGUCAACUAUGCAUAAAAUGGGCAUAAAAAUGAGCUGAUUAUGCCCUGAAUGGAUGUUUGCAAUUUGCAGUCGGGUAAUAUUUUUUUUUUGCUUUGUAAAUGGCAUUGAUUGACUCAUACAUGCAUUGACAAGACACUUCUGUGGCACUGAUUAUAGCUUCUGCUAUAAAUAUUUAUGUACUCGAACUGAAAUAAACGUGAGCAAUAAACUUC
rnacentral:lncRNA from 1 species